GGAGAUUUGGGAAAGGUUUUGAUUUCUCCUCAUCCGCGGAAUGAGGGGAAAAUUAGUGUUUUAGGAACUUUAAGGUUCAAUCUUCCAGGUCUUUAC
rnacentral:tRNA from 1 species